rnacentral:tRNA from 1 species
GGUAAUAGCUCAGUUGGUAGAGCACAAGCUUCCCAAGCUUGGGGUCACGGGUUCGAACCCCGCUUACC